AAAGUACUCCCUCCAUCCCAAAAUUCUUGUCUUAGAUUUGUCUAGAUACAGAUGUAUCAAAUCACAUUUUAGUAUUAGAUACAUCUGUAUCUAGACAAAUCUAAGACAAGAAAUUUGGGACAGAGGGAGUAGUUG
rnacentral:pre_miRNA from 1 species